GUUUCUAGCAGCUGAAGAUACGACUAGUUUGACAAAUAGUACUUAAUGUAGAUUUAUUAGAGAUUGAUGUGUGAUGGAAAAUGACAACACAUCAUACAGGAUUGAGACUCUUGAUGAAAAUAUUGAAAAGAUGGAAGAACGGUUGUCAUUUAUCACAAGCAACUUGGAAAGAAGUGAUCGGUUGACGAGGAGCAUGGUGUCCACUCUAACGUCGUUAGAUAAUCAUUUCGAGCACCUGGAGAACGUUGUCAGUCCAAUGCAUAACUAUACGACGUGCCAAAUGCAGCUGAAAGACACAGUGAACCAGACCUUGUUUCACAUGGACAAAGCCAUCAGCCAUCACCAGGUCCUCAGGAAAACAGACAAGAUCCUCCUGAUGGGACCUGCAGGUAGAGUGCAUGAUUAUCUGGACUGUCUUCAGCAGAUCAAGGAAGCAAUCAAAUUAUUUGAAGGACACACAGAAGAGCUGCACCUUACUACACUGAAAGAAAGGUUAGAAAAGGCUAGGCCACUGAUGGAGUCAGAGUUCUGUGUUCUGGUUGAUCGCCACUGCACGACUGCGAAGACCCUCGAUUUCCUGAAUUUGCUGGGCGUAGAGCGUGCAGGAGGGGAAACAGGGGAUGUCAUACCCAAGACUGGACUGGAGAACCUCAAGUCCAUCUACACAUGGUUGGCUGAAUACACAGCUCAGAACAGUGGGCAUGUUGCCACUAAACUCCAAACACUGUCAUUGGACAGAAACAUAAAACAUGAACUUAUUGGACCAGCGGCAUCAGGUUCUCGUUCUAAGAUGUCCCUGAAGACCUUUUGCAAUUUAAAAAGUCUCUUCCGAGCUAAACACCCAACACUCCCCAGUGUUCCAUCCAUGGAUGUGGUUGGAGCACCGAAAUACAGAAGUUCCUCCGAAAGUCUAUCAGAAGGCAAGCCUCCAAACCCAGACUCCGAUGUGCCCCCACCACUGACACUGAGCAUCUCAUCCCCUACCCCUUCUCAUGUCACUUUCAAAACACCGUCAAAAAACACGAGCCCAUCCAAAAUAAAAGGAGGAACACUAGCAGGCUCCAGAGCGUAUGAGGCGAGCUGCCCCAUGAACAGGCUGAAGACCAUGUCGCUGGGAAGAAACCCACUUAUCAAAGCCACAAGGUCCCAAGAACCCUUCAACCUUAUGAGCUAUUAUGCUGCAAAGCGGUCAAUAUGUCUCGACUAUUUGCUGAACGUUUGGAAAGACCGCUACCGCAAGUGCAGUGUGUCCUCGUUGAACCACCACUCCCUAGAGAAGCAGAACAAACACAUUAUAGAGUCACCCUUUAAGAAGACCAAGAAAACAGACAGGGAAAGCGUGCUUAACAUGGAGAUUGAUGUCCACCUGGAAUGUGUCAGAGUCUUCGUGAUCCUUGUUAAACGAGAACACACCAUGCUGACGCAAGUGUUUUCUGAAGUCUGUCCCCGGACCUUUAGUGCCCUCAUCCAGAACGCUCUCGACAACCUGCUUCAUGAUGGAGAGAACAUCAUCUUUGCCACCAAACGGGCCUUUUUUCGUAGCGAAUACUCGGUCAUCCUCGCCAUUUUAGCUACAGUAGACUAUCUCAUACAGCAGAGGAAUGGACCCAGUGUACUGGAGGAUGCAUCAGACUCAAUAACGGCCAAGGUGAACACAUUCAUCUCGUCCAUGAAGGAGCUGGUUACCAAAGGUUUGGAUGGAUUUGCAGACAGCGUCAAGAGCCACCUGGAUUGUAAGAACCUACCCAUGGAUGGAACAGUGCACAAGCUCAAUCACAAUACCAUCUUGUUCCUGCAACAGCUGAUCGUAAACGCAGGCAAUAAAGUAAAUGCAGCUCUCGUGCUGCCUAACCAUGACAAAGGACUUGGCACAGCCAUUAAGGUGACCAGUAGUGCUCAUAAGCUUGAGAAGUCAUCGGCGUGUUUGGAACAAAUAUCUGCCGAAGAAAAAGAGCACUUGUGUCGGUUUUCAUCAUACAUCUGUAGAGUGCUGGAAAACCUCCGGCAGAGUCUGAGGAAUAAGGCCAAGGCGUACGACGACCCUGCCCUGAGUGCCAUCUUCCUCCUCAACAACUUCCACUACAUCCUGAACUCACUGAAGAGGUCAAAGCUGAUUGUUGUAAUGAAGGCCUGUGGCAGUGAUCCAGAGGCCGAGUACAGGGAAUUGAUUGACGAACAGAAACUACUGUACCAGCUCAGCUGGCUGAUGGUGACAGAGAGCCUGGCUGACACGAGUCAGCCCGUGCUGAAGCAAGGAGGCAAGUUGAGUGAAAAGGACUUUUGCGUGGUCAAGGAACAGUUAAAGAGUUUCAACGAGAAGCUAGAGGAUCAGUGCAAGGCCCAGAAGGGCUGGUUGGUGCCCGAUAAGGAGCUCCGGACAGCACUAUGCCAGAUGCAAGGAGAGCUGGUAUCCACCAGCUACAGGUCCUUUCUGCACAAGUAUGAAGAUGCAGAUUUCACCAAACAGCCUGAAAGGUGCCUCAAAUACAGCCCACAGCAGGUGGAGCAGAUGAUCCAGACGCUGUUUGACAUGUCAGCCUGAGCCAUCCUUUCCAGGAAGUUGAACACUUUCUGGAGGUUAAGAUUCUUCUCCUCUGCGGCAUCCGUCAGGCUAAUGACACUGAUAUCAGAUUCGGAUUCUGGACAAAGAGAGUGAUAAGAGAUCAGAGCUUCACAUCAUAUGCAGGUGACUCACGGAUCAAGGGGCUGCAAUUGUUGUCUGCAGGAAGCAAGUCAUUGAGGAUGAGGAGGAACAUGAUGAAGCUGAGCACCAGGGUCACCUUGAAACAGACGCGCUCUCCGCCUAUUGGUAACGCGAAGCUCACCACAUCGGCGAUGAUGAUUAA